UAGAGCACUGUUUCGGCUAGGGGGCCAUCCCGGCUUACCAACCCGAUGCAAACUGCGAAUACCGGAGAAUGUUAUCACGGGAGACACACGGCGGGUGCUAACGUCCGUCGUGAAGAGGGAAACAACCCAGACCGCCAGCUAAGGUCCCAAAGUCAUGGUUAAGUGGGAAACGAUGUGGGAAGGCCCAGACAGCCAGGAUGUUGGCUUAGAAGCAGCCAUCAUUUAAAGAAAGCGUAAUAGCUCACUGGUCGAGUCGGCCUGCGCGGAAGAUGUAACGGGGCUAAACCAU
rnacentral:rRNA from 5 species